CCCUGUUUGGAGCAGUGGUUAGUGCGCUUGGCUGCGGAGCUGGAGAGCGCUGGUUUGAUUCCCCCCAACAGGUG